UGGUCAAGUUAUUAAGGGUGCAGGGCGGAUGCCUUGGCACUAGGAGCCGAUGAAGGACGCGAUAAGCUGCGAUAAGCUUCGGGGAGUUGCACGUAAACUUUGAUCCGAAGAUUUCCGAAUGAGGAAACUCACUUAGAGUAAUGUCUAAGUAUCAUUAAGUGAAUACAUAGCUUAAUGAGGGGAACUCAGGGAACUGAAACAUCUAAGUACCUGAAGGAAGAGAAAGAAAUUCGAUUCCGUAAGUAGCGGCGAGCGAACGCGGAAUAGCCCAAACCAAUAAAGUUUUCUUUAUUGGGGUUGCGGACAUAUCUUAAACGAAGAGGUAUCGUAAUUGAAGAGGUUUGGAAAGACCCACCACAGAAGGUAAUAGUCCUGUAUGUCAAACGAGAAAACUUCAGAUAUGAUCCAGAGUACCACGGGACACGUGAAACCCUGUGGGAAGCAGGAGGGACCACCCUCCAAGGCUAAAUACUACCUAGUGACCGAUAGCGUAUAGUACCGUGAGGGAAAGGUGAAAAGAACCCCGGGAGGGGAGUGAAAUAGAACCUGAAACCCUGCACUUACAAGCUGUGGAAGCACAUUUCUUGUGUGACCGCGUACUUUUUGUAGAACGGGCCAACGAGUUACGUUAAGUAGCAAGGUUAAGCACUUAAGGUGUGGAGCCGUAGCGAAAGCGAGUUUUAACUGAGCGUUCAGUUACUUGACGUAGACCCGAAACCGGGCGACCUACCCAUGAGCAGGAUGAAGCGAAAGUAAAAUUUCGUGGAGGUCCGAACCCACGAGCGUUGAAAAGCUCGGGGAUGACUUGUGGGUAGCGGUGAAAUUCCAAUCGAGCCCGGAGAUAGCUGGUUCUCCCCGAAAUAGCUUUAGGGCUAGCCUCAAGGUGAGAGAUACGGAGGUAGAGCACUGAAUGUCCUAGGGGGUAUUGCACCUACCGAAGACUAUCAAACUCCGAAUGCCGUCAUCUUAUACUUGGGAGUCAGACUGUGGGUGAUAAGAUUCAUAGUCGAAAGGGCAACAGCCCAGAUCGUCAGCUAAGGUCCCUAAAUGUAAGUUAAGUGGUAAAGGAUGUGGGAUUGCACAGACAACCAGGAUGUUGGCUUAGAAGCAGCCACUCAUUCAAAGAGUGCGUAAUAGCUCACUGGUCGAGUGAUCCUGCGCCGAAGAUUUCCGGGGCUAAAACUUACUACCGAAGCUACGGCAUCAGUAAUGAUGGGUAGGGGAGCUUCCCAUACGGGUUGAAGCAUGACCGUAAGGACAUGUGGACAGUAUGGGAGUGAGAAUGUUGGCAUGAGUAGCGAGAUGUGGGUGAGAAUCCCACAGGCCGUAAACCCAAGGUUUCCAGGGGAAGGUUCGUCCGCCCUGGGUUAGUCGGGACCUAAGCUGAGGCCGAAAGGCGUAGGUGAUGGACAACAGGUUGAUAUUCCUGUACUACCGAUAACCGUUUGAGAGAUGGGAUGACACAGUAGGAUAAGCUAAGCACACUGUUGGUUAUGUGUGCCCAAGCAUUGAGGCAGUCAGAGUAGGUAAAUCCGCUUUGAUAAUGCUGGGAUGUGAUGGGGAGCGAAAUUUAGUAGCGAAGUAGCUGAUUUCACACUGUCAAGAAAAGUCUCUAUCGAGGUUAAAGGUACCCGUACCGCAAACCGACACAGGUGGGUGAGGAGAGUAUCCUAAGGCCCGCGAGAGAACUGUUGUUAAGGAACUCGGCAAAAUGACCCCGUAACUUAGGGAUAAGGGGUGCCACCAUACGGUGGCCGCAGAGAAUAGGCCCAAGCGACUGUUUACCAAAAACAUAGGUUUCUGCUAAGUCGCAAGACGAUGUAUAGGAGCUGACGCCUGCCCGGUGCUGGAAGGUUAAGGGGAUCUGUUAGAG
rnacentral:rRNA from 1 species